UUUGGAUUCGUAGCGCCGCAGCGCGAAAACUUACAACACGCAAGCAAGAUAAGGGAGCGCCGAGAGCCAGCACAUCCGGCUGUCCUCGGGGUAAAAACACGGUGACAGUAU
rnacentral:rRNA from 1 species